ensembl:lncRNA
GCAUUCCUGGAGGUGUCGCACGUCCUCUCUGCCCUCCCCCGGGUGUGGCAUCCCUGUUGGACUUUCCUUUCUAGAAGGAAGCAUCGGGCCCGAGAUUUCUGGAUCUCCUAAGCGGAAUUUGCUCUGAGGCCUGCGUCACACACACGCCCGGGCUGUGUAAGGAAGGAAUGUGGAAAAGAGUUUGAUUUUGAUAAAGGUGUCAUGGAGGAGGGGAGCCCUCUCAUUCCGAGAGCGCUGUUCCGGGCACAAGUUUGUUUGCAGGGCCUGAAAUUCAGCUUAUCUCCAGAAGCAUGAAGCCCAGAGAAACAGCAGAAAUGGAGAAGGGUUUAUAUUCCUGUUCCUUUGGUUUGAAGAACUGAACUCUAAUCUCAUUUCCCGCCAUCCCUCCCUCCCCACCCCCAAAUCCUCAAGCUAAAGCUGAUCAAGACCUACCUGGGGAAUGAAAAGCUAGUCCCACACCUGGGAGAAUUACUACUCAGUGAGCUGGGGAGAUAAGCAAGUUUGUGGCACUCUCGUCAUCGUCUCAUCUGAUCCUUACAGUCGCCUGUGCAGCAGUGUUUCCACGUUUUCAGAAGUGGUUGGGAGAAGUGACGUGCUGAGUUCGAGGUCCACGGUGUUUGGCUGACCUUAUAUUUUGUAGAGCAUAUGCCUGGGAGUAGAAUGCUCAUUCGGAUGACUUUCCAAGUUUCACCUUCGAGGGACUGCUGGACUCUACCAUCUCCCAUCCUCCCAGCGGUGUCUGAGGAUUCUUAUCUCCCCACAUCCUACCCUAGUCUCAUCUGGUACCACUCUGCUCCUGGGUCUCCAGGCUCUAACCUCUGACGCCUGUAGGAUUUUCCCGGACCAGGGAUCAAACCCAUGUCCCCUGCAUUGACAGGCAGAUUCCUUACCAGUGAGCCACCAAGACCACCAAAUGGAAGAUCUUAAAGGUGCCUGUGAUUCUAACCUUAAUCAGACCCAGUGUCUCAUUGUCUAUCCUGAAAUGAAAUUCACAAAUAGUAUAACCUGCUUAUAGAGUGAAAACACAUAGAGGUAAUUCUCAAACUCUAAAACAGAGGAGAAUAAGUGAAAAGUAAUUUAUAAGAAAGUUAUAUGUAUUAUAGUGCUGGAAGUCCCAGUGAAGUAGCCAGGGGCUUGAACUGAACAGGUGGACGCUCUGUGAAGGUGACGGCUGCACACGCAGGUAGAGCGAGGUGUGGGGUGUUGACCCCUCGUGUGCCACCAGCACGGUGAGUGGAGAUGCUGCCAGUACUGAUGCUCCAGAAGAAUGACCAAUGGGAGCGCCCACGCAGAGUCCAGCUCAGUCUUCUCUCAGUUUACACGGUCGCUGCGUUUCAGGAAAGUACAGUGUGUGUUUAAACCAAGCAAAAACCAGUCUGUGUUUAAAUGUAAAAUAGAGUUGUUUUCUAGGUUGACCGAACUGUUCCUGGGAAGAACCACCAGGAUAUACUCUUGCCUCGGGCUGAAACGUUCUUCCUCCACCCUUUGACCACGUGCUUCACCUAUUCUUGUUUUAAAAAAUAUUUAUUUAUGUAUUUGGCUGUGUUAGGUCUUAGCUGAGGCACACAAGAUCUUCGCUGCAACCUGCUGGAUCUUUUGUUGCGGUGCACGGACUUGCUAGCUGUGGCACGUGGGCUUAGCUGCUCUGUAGCACGUGGGAUCCUAGUUCCCUGACCAGGGACUGAACCUGAGUCCCCUACAUUGCCAAGCAAAUUCUUAACCACCAGACCACCAGGGAAGUCCCUCAAGUCCAACUUGGAAGGUGCUUCCUCAAGAGAACCUUUCUAGCUUCUGCUACUUCUUCACUGUAUUUAACAUAUUUAAGACCAUUUGCAAGUGUACAUUUAUCCGUUCUCUUUCUGUUCAUGUCCGCCUCUCAGCUGGACUCGAACUCCAUGAGGUCUGGACUUGAGACUUUCCUAUCAUUGUAUCCCCAGCCCUUAACUCGUGCCUGGUAUGCAAAUAUCUGCUGCACGAAUACAAUAGUGCUCCUGUCUGCCUCCUUUGUUGUCCUGGGACUUCUUAGAAGACAUUAUUGUGCCAAAUUUAUCUGUGUCCUCAGUGCUAAAGAUAGUUCUUCCUUUUAUGUGGAAAACAGUGGUCAAAUAUUUAAUGAGCAAAUAAAAGCAAAAGCACAAUUGGGCUUCCAACGUCCUAAUGAAUGAGCUGAGGACACAGUACAAGGUGUUUUGGUAAAUCCUCCAGAAAGUGCCGUCAUCCCGGGUCAUGCUGAAGUCCUCUUUAUAGCUGUGGUUUCAAUAGGGAACCUUCAUUUUAACUGUGUUAAUAAUUAUUUGAGCUCUAGCGGUUGUAUAACAAACCACCCCAAACCUUCGUGGCUGCGUGUAACGGAGAGCUGGUUGUGUCUUAUGAUUCUGUGGGUUGGCAAUCUGGUGGCUGUACUGGCCUCUCGUGACCACAGUCAUCUGACAGUUUGAUGAGGACUUGAGGGUCCAGGUGGCCACACUCAGGCACCCGGUAGUGAUCUGGUGUUAGCUUGGGUGCCGUGGUUCUCGUUCACAUGGACAUCCAUCUUCUAGGAGGCUAACCCGGGCCUCUUCACCAUUCGAGGGUCCAAGAAGGUGAAGGCAAAGACAGAAGGUGCGAGGCGAAGGCUGCUUCCGAAGCUGCGCAGCCAUCACCUCUGCCGUGAUCUGUUGGUCAAAGCAGGUCACGGAUUCAUGUGGCUACAGCAGUUCAUCACAGGGGCUCUGGAUCCAGGGGGCACGUUCACCGGGACGCAUAAUGUAGCAAUCCACCACGGCAAUCUCUCUGGAGGAAAACUCUUCCAGUUCCUUGUUCUGGAAUCUACAGGGCAGCUCUGGGUCUUUCUUGUUGAUGGAGGGUCCUCAGGGACCCUGAGUCUCCCCUCCAAAUGUGGCAUCUCCCUGUCUGGUCCUGGAGACAGAGUUGGAAAAGAUGGAGGAGAUUAUGUUGAAUCUGUUCUUUUCCAGACUUUUUUUGGUUUCAUCUGGGGAGCAGGAUCUCAAUUUUGCUUUGGUGAAGUCAUGAUCUCAUUUUAUUUUCCUGCCAUUUGCCUUGUUUCUCUUCCAACUCAACUGCAAUAAAAAGUCAAGUUAAUGGAGCAUUCUGGCUAGUUCUGCAGAUUGUACUGCAAAAGGACCUCAGGGUGGAGAGCACUGAUUCUGGACCAAGACUCCGUGAGUUAGAAUCCUGGCUUUGUCACUUGCCUGCUAUGUGACCUCGGGAAGCGACUUCACCUUCCUGUGCCUCAGUUUCCACUUCUUAACAUGGGGAUCGUGAUGCCCGGAAGAGUGUGGUGAGGAUGGAGUAAGGAAAGCAUUGCAAAGCACUCAGAGUGGGCAUGGGACAGUCACCACCCCAGACAGCUGGGGAGGAGCCAGGUCAGGCAGAUGUUCUACG